UUACGGAAGGCAGCAGUGAGGAAUAUUGCACAAUGGGGGAAACCCUGAUGCAGCAACGCCGCGUGAGUGAGGAAGGCCCUUGGGUCGUAAAGCUCUUUCGGCUGGGAAGAGGGGGGUUUUGGUUAAUACCCAAGACUUCUGACGGUACCAGACUAAGAAGCACUGGCUAAUUCCGUGCCAGCAGCCGCGGUAAUACGGAAGGUGCAAGCGUUGUUCGGAAUGACUGGGCGUAAAGUGCGCGUAGGCGGGUUUACAAGUCGAUUGUGAAAUCCCAGGGCUUAACCCUGGAACUGCAGUCGAAACUGUAAGUCUUGAAUAUCUGAGAGGUUAGUGGAAUUCUAGGUGUAGGAGUGAAAUCCGUAGAUAUCUAGAGGAACACCGGAGGCGAAGGCGGCUAACUGGCAGUAUAUUGACGCUGAGGCGCGAAAGCGUGGGGAGCAAACAGGAUUAGAUACCCGAGUAU
rnacentral:rRNA from 1 species